CUUUCAAGCUCUUCUGCCUUGAGAACCAGUAGGAGCCUCCUCUAAGCUUAAUUAAGAGUCAUCCUAGGCUACUGACUGUGCUGUUUUCUGAUGGAAAAGAUGAAUGUCUGAUCAUACCUACUGCAUUAGUUUCCUGUGGCUGCUGUAAUAAGUCACCAUGAACUGGGUAGAUUAAAACAGCAGAUACUUACCCACUCACAGUCCCGGAGGUGAGAAGUCUGAAAUUCAGUGACACCCCAUCUACUGCCUUGACCAUGCCUUCCACCUAGAUUAACAUUUUUUUUUCUCAAUGCUGUUCCUACUCACCUCCAUCACUCCCUAAUAGAUACUUCAACCAAGACUCAACCUGCCUGCCUGGUGCUGCCCUGAGCCCCUCUGGAAGGAAAUAUUGGUGCAAAUUACCUGAGACAUCACAGUGGGGUGCAGGCACACAGGUGGAAGGAGCCCAGAGGCCAAUGGCCCAGGUUUGUUGACACUGCUCUGUCAAUGCUGUCCAACGCUGCUCUGUGAUCCUGGGUAAGUCUCCUAACCUCUCACAACCAUGGUUUUUCGAUCUAUGAAAAAAGAGAUAAGAUCUAGGUAAUAAGAUCUAGGUGAUUCCUGGAUGCACAUAUAAUCUCUGCUUGUGGAUAGUGGAUCCUGCCAGGAAGAGAACUCUUCUGAAAUGUCCAUGCUCAUAGACUGGCUUGAAGAAAUGAACAGGGAGCAUCUGAUUCCUGCACCUGGAAAUGACCGUGAGAAAGGAGGGGAGGAACCUGUGGACACCGAGUUGAGAAGUGGUGAGGGAGGUGCAGAGGAUACAACAUUCAAGGCAACAUCUUGAAAGCCUUCAUCAAACCAGACCCCAAACCAGACACCAAACCAGAUCCUCAUCAGACACCAAAGCUGCAAACACCUUGAUCUUGGACUUCCAACCAUAUGUAACUGUCAGCAAUAAAUUUAUGCCAUUUACAAAUCA
rnacentral:lncRNA from 13 species